rnacentral:sRNA from 1 species
GCCGGGCGUGGUGGCUCAUGCCUGUAAUCCCGGCACUUUGGGAGGCUGAGGUGGGUGGAUCACCUGAGGUCGGGAGUUCGAGCCUAGCCUGACCAACAUGGAGAAACCCCGUCUCUA